rnacentral:rRNA from 1 species
GGACCGUGAAACGACUUUGCGCCGAUGAUAGUGCUGCAACCAGUGUGAAAGUAGGUUAUCGUCAGGC